CCUGCCGGGGCCUCCGUCCCGGGGGUUCGCACUUACGCGCGGCCCGGAGGCGGCGGAGAGCCGGGACUCCCGCCCGGGGCGGCGGGAGGGGUCAAGGCCGCGAUCGAGAGCCUCCGGAGGCCCGAGGAGCCGCCCGGCGAGGUGGCCGCGCCGGCUGCCCGGAGCGAGGCCGCGGAAAAUGUCCGACUGGCUCCCUCCGCCCGGCGCGGGGCUGGGACGACUGUUUCAGAAGAGAGUCCAGGACCCCCGCCUCAGCCCGCCCUCCUGCUCCCGCCCCGGGUUAGGGACGCCCGCCAAGAAAGUGCGCGGAACCGGCGAACCCGGGCCGCCGGGUGGACCCUGCGGGAAAAGUGCAACCUCCUUUCCCGCGCACGUGCCUGGCCACCUGAUUGGCGCUGCUCCUUCCCGCACCCCUGGCCGUAGCGGGGAAGCCUUUGCCUCGCUUGGCUUCCCACGUCUGUGCAUCCUUGUUUUUUUGUUUUUUUUUUUCAAAACCCUUUUCAUCCCGCACGACGCCCAGCGCGCACUCUCUGACCACGUUCGCCCCUAAACUGCAGGCACGGAACCCAGGAAUCAACCUCCACCCCAAAGCAGGACAAAACUGGGCGCCAAGGAUCUGGAAUGUUUCAGUCGGAAGGGUUUAUACCCAAGUAGCCAGACGCUGUGCAUUACUGACUCCCCACCCCCCCGACACACACCCCGACACCCGCACACACACAAAUUGAUAGACGCACUGUGCAGUGCCUUUACCUCCCCGGACUGUAAAGAAAGCUGAGUGCCGGAGAAUUGAUGCUUUUGAACUGUGGUGUUGGAGAAGACUCUUGAGAGUCCCUUGGCCUGCAAGGAGAUCCAACCAGUCCAUCCUAAAGGAAAUCAGUCCUGAAUAUUCAUUGGAAGGACCGAUGCUGAAGCUGAAACUCCAAUACUUUGGCCCCCUGAUGAGAAGAGCCGACUCAUUGGAAAAGACCCUGAUGCUGGGAAAGAUUGAAGGCAGGAGGAGAAGGGGACAACAGAGGAUGAGAUGGCUGCAUGGCAUCACCAACUCGAUGGCCAUGAGUUUGAGUAAACUCCGGGAGUUGGUGAUGGCCAGGGAGGCCUGGCGUGCUGCAGUCCACGGGGUCGCUAAGAGCCGGACACGACUAAGCGACCGAACUGAACUGAAGACAUUUAUUUGUCUCCUCUGCCCUGGGUUAUUAACUGAAGCAAGCAGUUGGGACCCCGCCCCCCCCUUAAAGAAGUCACUCUAGUGCCCAGGAGGCUAAGCUUUUGAACGUUCAAGAGGCUCGAAGAGAUCUGCAGAAAGUUGUUCUUUGUCUUUCCAUUAGAAGAAACAUCAACUCUGAAAUGGAACCUUAUACGCCAUACAGCCUUUCUGAAUAUGAUAAUCCCCCUGUAUCUAGUCGUUACCUUAAUUUUACAUAAAGAAUACAUACAAUCUUGUGAAAAAUGUCCAGGCAGCUAGUGGGGAUAAAGAGUCCUGUUAUCCCCUGGGAAACAUUCUGGUAGGAAAAAAAAAAAGAAGCUUGAGCGAGUUCAUUUGCCGGCAGCAGACUUGGGCUCGGGCUGUGUUAAAAGUUGGUGCAGAUGGACAUUUGUCCAUAAAUUUCCUACUUCCUACUUUCUCAUUUAACCUUCCCAGCAGCGUUGGCCACUGAACCUUGCCGGUUCUCCAAGGCAGCCCACCUCACACCAAAGCGUCAGGGUCUUCAGAUGCUGGUGCCUACAAAUGCUGGUCUCGGGAAAGACAGUGUCUUAGAAUUUUGAGCACAAGUAACAGAGCAAAUGAAGAUCCAUAGAGAAUCUUUCUCAUACUCCUUAUUUUUAGACUUUUCCAAGAGUCGUUUCAUUGUAAAGUUGGGUCCAAUGGUCAACACUCAACCUGGGCAGUUGGAGGAAUGUGCUGGCCUAUAGGGUUCCCUGAAAAGAAAUAAAAGUGCACCCUUCCUCAUUACACAGCACUUCCAAUAAAAUCUAAGAGUUCCCAACCUUUAUCGAGAACAGAAAGUUACAUCCAAAUGGUAUAACAAGCUUCAAAUUGGUUGUAUCAAGCAGUCAACUUUGCUUAUGCACAUUCAGAAUGACAAGAGAGAAAAUAUUAAUUUCAAUUUGCAAGUCAUCAAAAAGUACCUUGUGGGCCACAUAAUGAAUAGCCCUGUGUUAAAUUAGUAAUAUAUGUUUGUUCUUUCACAAAUAAAUUUUCCUCUGAAAUACA